CAGGACGAACGCUGGCGGCGUGCUUAACACAUGCAAGUCGAACGGGAGUAUUGAAGAAGCUUGCUUUAGAGAUACUUAGUGGCGGACGGGUGAGUAACGCGUGAGGAGCUGUCCUAUGCAGGGGGACAACAGCUGGAAACGGCUGCUAAUACCCCAUAAGCCGAGAGGUAAAAGGAUCAAUCCGGCAGAGGAGGUACUCGCGUCCUAUCAGCUAGUAGGUGAGGUAACGGCUCACCUAGGCGAAGACGGGUAGCCGGCCUGAGAGGGCGAACGGCCACACUGGAACUGAGAUACGGUCCAGACUCCUACGGGAGGCAGCAGUGGGGAAUAUUGGGCAAUGGGGGAAACCCUGACCCAGCGACGCCGCGUGGGUGAAGAAAUCCUUCGGGAUGUAAAGCCCUGUUGUAUGGGAAGAGCGGAAGACGGUACCAUACGAGGAAGCCCCGGCAAACUACGUGCCAGCCGCAGC
rnacentral:rRNA from 1 species